AACGAACGCUGGCGGCAUGCCUAACACAUGCAAGUCGAACGAGAACUUCGGGUCUGGUGGCGACCGGUUGCGUAAGGGGUAGGAACCUGCCCUUAGGUUCGGAAUAACGCCCCGAAAGGGGUGCUAAUACCGGCUAAUGUCUUCGGACCAAAGAUUUAUCGCGCUUGGAUGGGACCGACUUGGAUUAGCUAGUUGGUAGGGUAAAAGCCUACCACGGCGACGGUACAUAGCUGGUCUGAGAGGAUGAGCAGCCACACUGGGACUGAGACACGGCCGAGAAUCUUAGGGGAUGCAGCAGAGGGGAAUAUUGCACAAUCGGGGAAAGCCUGAUGCAGUAAGGCCGGGUGAGUGAUGAAGGACGUAGGGUUGUAAAGCUCGUUUACCCGUGAUGAUAAUGACAGUACCGGGAGAAUAAGCUCCGGCUAACUCCGUG
rnacentral:rRNA from 1 species